GCACUUCUGAGGGGUCCCAUAAUAGGACGAAACGGCCGUGCAGUGU
rfam:Schistosoma mansoni strain Puerto Rico chromosome 2, complete genome